rnacentral:rRNA from 1 species
UUGAACGCUGGGCGGCGUGCUUAACACAUGCAAGUCGAACGAUGAACCACUUCGGUGGGGAUUAGUGGCGAACGGGUGAGUAACACGUGGGCAAUCUGCCCUUCACUCUGGGACAAGCCCUGGAAACGGGGUCUAAUACCGGAUACCACUACCGCAGGCAUCUGUGGUGGUUGAAAGCUCCGGCGGUGAAGGAUGAGCCCGCGGCCUAUCAGCUUGUUGGUGAGGUAAUGGCUCACCAAGGCGACGACGGGUAGCCGGCCUGAGAGGGCGACCGGCCACACUGGGACUGAGACACGGCCCAGACUCCUACGGGAGGCAGCAGUGGGGAAUAUUGCACAAUGGGCGAAAGCCUGAUGCAGCGACGCCGCGUGAGGGAUGACGGCCUUCGGGUUGUAAACCUCUUUCAGCAGGGAAGAAGCGAAAGUGACGGUACCUGCAGAAGAAGCGCCGGCUAACUACGUGCCAGCAGCCGCGGUAAUACGUAGGGCGCAAGCGUUGUCCGGAAUUAUUGGGCGUAAAGAGCUCGUAGGCGGCUUGUCACGUCGGGUGUGAAAGCCCGGGGCUUAACCCCGGGUCUGCAUUCGAUACGGGCUAGCUAGAGUGUGGUAGAGAGAUCAGAAAACCUCGUAAUGGCCGAAUGGA